rnacentral:misc_RNA from 1 species
UUAACUAUUAUAUAGUACUCAGACGACAUUAAUAAAAAGAGUUUUGAUAUUCUCUGGCGAGCACGCAAGGCCCGAAGGCAGCUCGCCAAAGCAACAAAGUAAUAAUACACAAGGGUGGGAGGUCUACCCUUUCGGGCAUGAACUCUGUAAUGAUCCUUCCGCAGGUUCACCUACGGAAA